GACGAACGCUGGCGGCGUGCUUAACACAUGCAAGUCGAGCGGUAAGGCCCUUUCGGGGGUACGCGAGCGGCGAACGGGUGAGUAACACGUGGGUGACCUGCCCUCAGCUCUGGGAUAAGCCUGGGAAACCGGGUCUAAUACCGGAUAUGACUCCAUGACGCAUGUUGUGGGGUGGAAAGCCUUGUGCGGCUGAGGAUGGGCCCGCGGCCUAUCAGCUUGUUGGUGGGGUGANGGCCUACCAAGGCGACGACGGGUAGCCGGCCUGAGAGGGCGACCGGCCACACUGGGACUGAGACACGGCCCAGACUCCUACGGGAGGCAGCAGUGGGGAAUCUUGCGCAAUGGGCGAAAGCCUGACGCAGCGACGCCGCGUGAGGGAUGACGGCCUGG
rnacentral:rRNA from 1 species